rnacentral:rRNA from 1 species
UGGGGAAUAUUGCACAAUGGGGGAAACCCUGAUGCAGCGACGCCGCGUGAACGAAGAAGGUAUUCGUAUCGUAAAGUUCUGUCCUAUGGUAAGAUAAUGACAGUACCAUAGAAGAAAGCUCCGGCUAAAUACGUGCCAGCAGCCGCGGUAAUACGUAUGGAGCGAGCGUUGUCCGGAAUUAUUGGGCGUAAAGGGUACGCAGGCGGUUUAAUAAGUCGAAUGUUAAAGAUCGGGGCUCAACCCCGCAAAGCAUUGGAAACUGAUAAACUUGAGUAGUGGAGAGGAAAGUGGAAUUCCUAGUGUAGUGGUGAAAUACGUAGAUAUUAGGAGGAAUACCAGUAGCGAAGGCGACUUUCUGGACACAAACUGACGCUGAGGUACGAAAGCGUGGGGAGCAAACAGG